UAACCUGCCCAAGAGAUCGGGAUAACACCUGGAAACAGAUGCUAAUACCGGAUAACAACAGAUGAUGCCUAUCAACUGUUUAAAAGAUGGUUCUGCUAUCACUCUUGGAUGGACCUGCGGUGCAUUAGCUAGUUGGUAGGGUAACGGCCUACCAAGGCGAUGAUGCAUAGCCGAGUUGAGAGACUGAUCGGCCACAUUGGGACUGAGACACGGCCCAAACUCCUACGGAGGCAGCAGG
rnacentral:rRNA from 1 species